CGGGUACCAUUGCUAGAUGGUCACUUCGAUUAGUACAGGAAUUGGUUCCUGUGCUACCGGCUUAGGUUUGAACCUGCGGGGUCACACACAUUAGAGGUUUCUUUCUGAUCUGAUGGCUGAUUAUGAGUCUUAUGUGUUUGGGACUCUAUGAUUGAGAAUUAAGAUUCUCUGAUCAUGAGUUCCACACAUUUUGGGUACCGGGGUCAAAAUUUUGAAUUUCAAAUUUUGAAUUUGAAAUUUGAACUCUUUGAUCAGGAUUUCAUAUCGAUGGUCUCUGAUGCCUAAUUGCCCAUCGAAUUUGGACUCAAUAUUUAUGAGAGAUUUAAUUAGUGAUUU
rnacentral:lncRNA from 1 species